UAAAAAACGUAGAAAAUUAAGAAAUGUAGAUAGUUGACAUAAUUGUUAUAAAUUACUACAAAACGAUUAAUAAAGAAAUAAUAGUAGCGUCAAUGAUCACUUCUUGUAUUUAAAAAUAGUAUCAAAAUUAAUAUCAAAACCCAAAUAAAAAGCAGUCUUGUCCUCGCAUACUCACUCAGCUGUUCACAGUUCACACUUAGUAUUGAAAUCAUCUCUCAAGUGUCAAUAGUGAAAACUAACCGCAAGAAGUGAUCGGCCGCGUCUAUAUUGUGAAUUUCAUAUCAGAAUAUUCACUGGAAACAUCAAGGAGCCAAGCCAAUCAUUCAGAUAAUUCAAUCUAAUUAUAACAUUAAACUGGAGAUCGAUUAUUGUUUGUGAACAUUUGGACAAUAUUACUACUAAUCAUAGACAAAAUAUCUGUGGUUAUUGGAGUUGCCAUAAUACUAUAAUAAAAACUAUUCAGUUGAAUUGGUUGAAGAAUAAUCGUUAUCGCCAGAAUUUCUAGGCAUGGCAGUUUAAUUUUGUGUCGCUGUGUUUCAUAUUCGUUCAAAAAGUUUAUAGCCGUUAGAACAUGAAUGGAGAUUACAAGUGUGUAUGUAUAUCUACCUUAGGAUCUUGAUAAAAUAGAACAAUAUAUCAAAAAAUUCAAACACUCAAAUGUGCGCAAGCAAAGGGUUAUUAAGAUGUAUAAUAGAAUCAUACAAAAGUCAAUAUCAAAAAUGGAAUAAAAAACAAACAAGUCGACAAUUUUAUAAACAUAGAAAUCAAGAUUUAUAGUUUGUUAUUGGAUCAAAAGAAAGAAAUACAGCUGAAUGAGAGCAAUAUUAAAACAAAAUAGACAAGAGAAAAUUUUUAAGGAAAAUUUCGAACGUUAAAAUGUAAUCUGUCUGUACUCAAAAGUUUAAUAAAAAUAAAAAAUA